rnacentral:rRNA from 1 species
AUGUGGAAUAUAUGCCUUGAAUCAUGCAUCCUUCACUAUCCUGGGAAUGCCCCAUCUGCGGGUUCAGAUAUCAUACGGUCCAAGUGGCUUGACGAGUUGGUGGUUCAGACUUUGCUGGAGUCUGGAGAUACAUCAAUAAUGAGUAGAGGUUUGAGUGGGAAGCUGUUGUCAACAAGGGAUGCAUGUCAAUUCUGUGUGCAAAGAUAUUAUCAACAAAGGGAUGCCUCCGUGCCCCAUGGGAAGCUCGAGGAGCUGGUGCCAAUUAUAUGGCAACGACUGGAUGUUGCAAGAAAAACAACGACUGGAUGCCGACAUGUCCAUGUAGAUGGUGCAGACAUCGACGUAAUUAAUUAA